rnacentral:rRNA from 1 species
AUGGAGACCGAGACUGUGGUCAGAAACUUGCCGGAGCUGCCGCGGGACGUAUUGAUGGAUAUCUUCGCCCUCCUGGAGAUCCCAGACCUCAUGCGUGCGGGCUCCGUCUGCUCCUCCUGGCGGUCUGUCUAUAUCAGCCUACGCAGCGAGCUUGAGCUGUACAAACGGCCCCAGACGCCUUGCCUCCUCUACACCUCUGAAUCUGCCGCGGACAACGUAGCUUGUCUCUACAGCCUCGCGGAAAAGCGGGUCUACAAUCUGACUCUUCCGGAUCCACCCAUCCGGAGUAGAUAUCUGAUUGGGUCCUCACACGGCUGGCUGAUCACCGCCGACGAGAAGUCCGAGCUACACCUUCUCAAUCCGAUCACCUGUCAACAGAUUGCUCUCCCGUCAGUGAUCACCAACGAGAGGGUGAAGCCGGUCUUUGACGAUGCAGGCACACUUAAGGAGUACGAGUGGUGGGAGCCGAAGCACGACAUUGAGCUCGACUGUGAAGUGGAUGGUCACCAUAAGUCAACCCAUGCUCUCGACAAGCUUCGUGACCUGUUCUACCACAGGGUACGCAUAUUUCCUGACCCGUCCACAGGAAGCUACAUUGUGGUUCUCACCCACAGCGAAUCGCAACAGCUUUCGUUUGCGAGGGUAGGAGAUUGUAAGUGGACCUUGCUGCCGGUGGGUUAUGACUAUCAAGACUACAUCUACAUGGAUGGCCUAUUGUAUGCCUUCACAAGCUUUGGACAAAUUGAUACAUUUGAUCUCCACAGUCCUACCAUUACAAGGAAUAGAAUUGUAGGCGACAUGAAGACUUAUACUCAAGGGCGGCUGUACGUUAUCCAGGCUCCAUCCGGUGAUCUGCUGCAAGUUCACAGGAAUUCGGAGAUCCAAGAUACC